UUUCGGGGUUCCGGGGAGUCACGUUCCGAUCCCGGAUGGGCCCCCAAAUGAAAGAGCGUACCCCAAAACGGGGAGCCGCGUCUCUCAAUCCGAUCGUGGGGUGGGGUGCCCCCAGGAAUCACGAGUAGCCAU
rnacentral:pre_miRNA from 14 species